GGGCAUAUGGUGUAGAUGGUUAUCACGCCCGCUUAGCAUUUCUGCUUUAGACGCCGGAGUGGUUGCGGGAGGUCUGGAGUUCAAGUCUCCAUCUGUCCA